GGCACGAACACCGCUGAAGCCGCUGACCUCCCUUCUCCUUUGGUAGAAAACCCACGAACACCCUAUGUUUGGUACUUUUAUUCACGAAAAGCCAUACCCCAGAUAGCCAUCCCGUGGAGUCUAUUCGUAUGGAGAACAGACUUUGUGAACACUUUGACUCCACGGCGAUUGGACUGUGUGCCUAGGAUCUGAGCGCUAUUCGGUACUUUUGUGCGCUCAGAUCCCAGCUAUCUAGGGGCACAUUGAAUACCUAUGUUAUACUGUAAUAUUGUCAAGUUAUAUAUUUUUAACCAUUUUUGUCAUGGUCACUUAAGAUGGCGUUUGGUCUUUGUCCAGGGAGAUAAUUGAAUUACUUCACAAUUAUCUCCCGGGCAGAGCAGAGGGUCUUGGGUAAUUAAAGGGACAUGGCUACAUGUGUAACACUCUGAUUGGUCAAUGUAAUGUCCUUGUCACAGUCACCCAUUUGGUCCCCUAGUGGAGUGUCCACCAGGUGGGAGACCUGCAUAAAUACCGGGCAGGUAGCCAUCAAUAAACCAGAUUCCUGCUGACCCUCAAUACGGAGCUUUGUCUCGUCAUUAGGGGGAUUAUUCAUAUGCAUUGCGCUUGUUCGGCUGUUUGGGAGACUAACUGGUUUGUGUGAUUGCUGUUCGGCAGUUUGGAGUGCUCAGUGGCUACCUCUGUGUUCGGGAAGGGAACGUCCUAUACGGCAGUAACCCCUCUCCUAUCGGGGGGGUCGUAACAUCAUCCAUCUGAGCAUCAAAGCAGAUAUCCAUAGUGUGAUAGCAGUUACCAUUGUUGGGACCAUAUGAACUCUGUCCUUCCCUGUGGCAGCUAUUUUGUUAACUUCUGGCCUCCAUUAUCGCCAGAGUUGCUCCAUCUUAAGAUGGGGUUAUGUGCGACUGGGUUUCUGUUGGGAGUUAUUGGACUGUCUAUUUUUGUAUGUCUGAUAUCUUUUGCUGUUUCCAAGAUGUUUCAGGCCCUGGGGAGAUAGCGCAGCUAAGCGGACAAGGGCACAUGUAGGAGUGUG